UACAGAGGGUGCAAGCGUUGUUCGGAAUUAUUGGGCGUAAAGCGCGUGUAGGCGGCUUGUUAUGUCGGGUGUGAAAGCCCUCAGCCUAACUGAGGAAGUGCGCCCGAAACUGGCGAGCUUGAGUGCCGGAGAGGAUAGCGGAACACCCGGUGUAGAGGUGAAAUUCGUAGAUAUCGGGUAGAACACCAGUGGCGAAGGCGGCUAUCUGGACGGACACUGACACUGAGAGACGAAAGCUAGGGGAGCGAAUGGG
rnacentral:rRNA from 1 species